ensembl:misc_RNA
UUGACAGCACUAGAAAGAAGUCUUGUUUAUUCAUGGGACAGGUACCUCAUGGGCAACUGCAGUACAAGCUUCCCCAUGUUGCCCUGCCAGUGUGCUUCAAUGCUCAAAGGGAUUGCCAUGGGUUGAGAAGGUAAUUCAGUCUACAUGCCCAAUCAAUCUAACGCCUCU